UCGAUGAGUAGGGCGGGACACGUGGUAUCCUGUCUGAAUAUGGGGGGACCAUCCUCCAAGGCUAAAUACUCCUGACUGACCGAUAGUGAACCAGUACCGUGAGGGAAAGGCGAAAAGAACCCCGGCGAGGGGAGUGAAAAAGAACCUGAAACCGUGUACGUACAAGCAGUGGGAGCCUCUUAAUGGGGUGACUGCGUACCUUUUGUAUAAUGGGUCAGCGACUUAUAUUCUGUAGCAAGGUUAACCGAAUAGGGGAGCCGAAGGGAAACCGAGUCUUAACUGGGCGUUAAGUUGCAGGGUAUAGACCCGAAACCCGGUGAUCUAGCCAUGGGCAGGUUGAAGGUUGGGUAACACUAACUGGAGGACCGAACCGACUAAUGUUGAAAAAUUAGCGGAUGACUUGUGGCUGGGGGUGAAAGGCCAAUCAAACCGGGAGAUAGCUGGUUCUCCCCGAAAGCUAUUUAGGUAGCGCCUCGUGAAUUCAUCUCCGGGGGUAGAGCACUGUUUCGGCAAGGGGGUCAUCCCGACUUACCAACCCGAUGCAAACUGCGAAUACCGGAGAAUGUUAUCACGGGAGACACACGGCGGGUGCUAACGUCCGUCGUGAAGAGGGAAACAACCCAGACCGCCAGCUAAGGUCCCAAAGUCAUGGUUAAGUGGGAAACGAUGUGGGAAGGCCCAGACAGCCAGGAUGUUGGCUUAGAAGCAGCCAUCAUUUAAAGAAAGCGUAAUAGCUCACUGGUCGAGUCGGCCUGCGCGGAAGAUGUAACGGGGCUAAACCAUGCACCGAAGCUGCGGCAGCGACACUAUGUGUUGUUGGGUAGGGGAGCG
rnacentral:rRNA from 1 species